GGUAGAGGACAGGAAGGCCUGGAGGAACGUUGUCAGUGGGGUCGCGAUGGGUCGGAUACGACUUCGCAACUAACAACAAUAAGUUAUUCUGAAAACACUGCAUGAUUUCAGUAGUUCAUUGGUCUGAGAAAGGACAAUGAUGUUCAUCAUUUUUAGUAAUAGGCAGUCCAUUCGUAAAUAUGAGUUGGACAUUCUUAUUCCAGGGACUGUUUGUAACUGAACUUGAUCUCCAGUUUUCACAUGUUCAGAGAAAGAUUGGAAGUUUAAGCUAAAGUUGUAGUGGUAAACUUCCACAAGGGAAAUGGAACUUGUCAUAAGCUGCACAAAAAACAAACAGGAACAAUCUUAAUGGCUGAGAGAAAUAGUAACCCUUAGUGACCAAGUGAAAUUCCUUGACUGAAGAUGGUCUUCAACUUGGAUUCCCACAAUUCCUCAACAAUAUAUUCACUAUACCAUAUUGGCCAGGAUGAAAUAAAUUUCUCUAUCCUGCAAAAAGACUCCUGUCCUUGAUUAGCAUUAUACAUAUACAUCAGUAAAAAAGUCAGACUGGAA